rnacentral:rRNA from 1 species
GACGAACGCUGGCGGCGUGCUUAACACAUGCAAGUCGAACGAAGAGCGAUGGAAGCUUGCUUCUAUCAAUCUUAGUGGCGAACGGGUGAGUAACGCGUAAUCAACCUGCCCUUCAGAGGGGGACAACAGUUGGAAACGACUGCUAAUACCGCAUACGAUCUAACCUCGGCAUCGAGGAAAGAUGAAAGGUGGCCUCUAUUUAUAAGCUAUCACUGAAGGAGGGGAUUGCGUCUGAUUAGCUAGUUGGAGGGGUAACGGCCCACCAAGGCGAUGAUCAGUAGCCGGUCUGAGAGGAUGAACGGCCACAUUGGGACUGAGACACGGCCCAGACUCCUACGGGAGGCAGCAGUGGGGAAUCUUCCGCAAUGGACGAAAGUCUGACGGAGCAACGCCGCGUGAGUGAUGACGGCCUUCGGGUUGUAAAGCUCUGUUAAUCGGGACGAAAGGCCUUCUUGCGAAUAG